rnacentral:rRNA from 1 species
GGCAAUGCGCGGCUACCAUGCAGUCGAACGUGAUCCGCCCUUCGGGGUGGUGAAAGUGGCGCACGGGUGAGUAACGCGUGGAUAAUCUGCCCGAGGAUUUGGGAUAACAUCUCGAAAGGGGUGCUAAUACCGAAUAAGCCCACGGGGUCUACGGAUCUUGCGGGAAAAGGGGGGGACCUUCGGGCCUCCUGUCCUUGGAUGAGUCUGCGUACCAUUAGCUAGUUGGUGGGGUAAUGGCCUACCAAGGCGACGAUGGUUAGCUGGUCUGAGAGGAUGAUCAGCCACACUGGAACUGAGACACGGUCCAGACUCCUACGGGAGGCAGCAGUGGGGAAUUUUGCGCAAUGGGGGAAACCCUGACGCAGCAACGCCGCGUGGGUGAUGAAGGCCUUCGGGUCGUAAAGCUCUGUCUGGAGGGAAGAAAUGAUUGGGAGCUAAUACCUCUUGAUCUUGACGGUACCUCUGAAGGAAGCACCGGCUAACUCCGUGCCAGCAGCCGCGGUAAUACGGAGGGUGCAAGCGUUGUUCGGAAUUAUUGGGCGUAAAGCGCGUGUAGGCGGUCUUUUAAGUCUGAUGUGAAAGCCCCGGGCUCAACCUGGGAAGUGCAUUGGAAACUGGGAGGCUUGAGUACGGGAGAGGAGAGUGGAAUUCCUAGUGUAGGAGUGAAAUCCGUAGAUAUUAGGAGGAACACCGGUGGCGAAGGCGGCUCUCUGGACCGAUACUGACGCUGAGACGCGAAAGCGUGGGUAGCAAACAGGAUUAGAUACCCUGGUAGUCCACGCCGUAAACGAUGAGUACUAGGUGUUGCGGGUAUUGACCC